AAGACUAUAGACCUGCGGAGUACCUGCGGAGGGAUCAUUAGUGAACGCCCUCACGGGCUUAUAACUAUUCCAAACCUCUGUGAACCGUGCCCUUCGGGGCUAUUUUACAAACAUGGUGUAAUGAACGUCAUAUAUCAUAACAAAACAAAACUUUCAGCAACGGAUCUCU
rnacentral:misc_RNA from 1 species